rnacentral:lncRNA from 1 species
UCCAAUUGGUGGUCAUUGCGACAACCACCAGACUCCUGCAAAACAUGUCUCCUCCCAAGAGAACUUCAUGAAGGCCAUGACCUUGCAGCUGCGCUCUAUCAGUACAAAGGAAUACCGGCUGUGUUUUCAGACUCGUGGGAUGGAAUGAUGCAGGCCUCUAAAGAAACUGCAAUUGGCGCAAAAUCUCCAUGACGAUCAUAUGUUUACUUGUUUUUAGCCCCUCUUCUGUUCUCCGACUCGCCGGGAGAUUUUUGUGGUGGCUGAAAGGCUAAUUGAAGAACUUUUAUGUCUCGUUUUGGUGUGCUGUAUGUGUUUCUAUAAAUGUUUAUGGUGCCGAUGGUUGCCACUGCUCGCUCGGAUGCUGACGGCAAUAGCAACUGAAGGCGCGGGUUAACCGCCGUGUGGAUGAUUCUGAGCGUGACAUGGAACUAACUUGCCCAUUCAUUGCGUUGCGUUUUCAUGCCCUGUGGAUUAGAAGUUGAC